GUAAACUAUGAUGGUGGUUCAAUAAUAAUAAUAUCUAGUCAUUUGGUAUUUUUAAAUUUUUAAUAUAUAUUUUUAUAAACAGAUCACGUGGUAAAAUAGCACAAGAAACACUUACCAAAUAUAAGGUUAUAUCUUCAGAAUAUACAGGAGAAGGAGGCUUGUAUGUACAGUAAGAAAAUGAUUUUCAGGAUUUAACUUUAUUUUAUUCUUCCCCACUCCCCCCCUUUUCCCCCUUUUAUAUUCAUUUGAAACAUCACAGCUUCAAUGUUUUUAAAACUAAUACUUUGGACCGGUGGACGCUUUUUUAAACCAGGGGUGCUACGGGACAGAAAGAAACAACCCACCGGAGAUGUCUCCCGUGCAAAGCCUCGCGAAAUCACUGCGCAAUUCACAUUUGCGUGGCUCUCACGAAAGAUGCUCCGGAUGGAUUGUGGUCAAAAUUUGGACCAAGAUGUUACAUUGGUGGAACUCUUGCAGAAAAUGGAGUCAGCCCUAUUAACCAGAUCCCAGAAUAUGAGUAAUUUAGGAUAUUGCUAUUGUGUUAGUCCUGAUUUCUUAGUAUUGAAUUGCUGUCUCUAAAAGACGUCUUUAGCUGAGAGUAGCAGGAAAAAAAUGCUUUUGUCUAAGUUUAUCACACUGGGGAUAACUUCGGCAUUAAAGAGAGAUUAAAACGCAUUUAAAGCAUCCCGCAAAUAAAGCAAAAAUAGCGAGUGAUUAUCGCACACAGUGGCGCAAAUAAAGUGAUAUCGGGAAUGCAUUGUUCCUGAAAUCCCUAAAGCAAAAAGAUGUGCGUUAAUGCUUCUUUAUGGUCACUUUUGUGUAAUUUUGCCAUAUUUCUGGGAUAUUCACAGGAUAAACUCCGAUCUCCUUUGUGAGGAAACCGAUGCCAGUUAAGAGACUGUAUUAUGCUAUUUCAGCAAAGAAUAACAGGUUGGAAUAUUUCUCUCUGUGAAUGUAUUGUGUUCUGCUUUCUGCCUUUUCCGUACCUUUCUGGGUUAAUAUGUCUGGUGUGUGUUAGAAGAUAUGUGUUGAAUCUGGAUAUAGUGGCUAGCAUUACCUUAUUCUGUGAUAUUUGUAAUGUAUAGAACCUGAGAUCGGUUGCGUUCUAAACAUAAUGAUUAGGAUUAUUAACCCGAUUUAUAAAAAGGGUUAAGAAUCUGUCCUUUCUUUGCUAAGACCAAUCUGAGUUAUAAUACUCCGGUGUUAGCCAUCCUUUGAUUUGCAAACCAAAUAAAACCUUGUUCCUGUUUUAAUCCUCUGACUCUUCUCCAAACAUUUAUUUUAUUGGACAAGAGGAAAUAAUGACCUUUUUUCUAGGCUGCAACCAUCUCAGAAAAUGGCCAACUCUAUACCCCAGUCUUCAGCACAUUUCUCUUCUUUGACUCAGUUCUUUCCCAUCUGAUUCCUCCCUCUUUCUAUUGUCUCUUUCAGACCAUUUGCCUCGAUCCUGUUUACGUGGCGUGAUUCAAUGGAGAUAGAAAGCUCCCAUCCUUGAAGAUGCAGUCGAGAAUUUGGGAGCGUCUGGUCCAGAACACACUGCAGAUAUAAUCCAGUUUGAGACUGCUUGAACUGCCCUGGCUCAAUCCAAAAUAAUGCCCCAAUGGAUUCUGCUUCAUGACAGAAAUAUGUUUAAUUUCGGACUGAUAUAUGCGAGGUCAAACCUGUCCUUGAGCACUUGGAGACUGGUAUGCAUAUAGAGCAUCUGCAGACAGAUUCCCUGCUGAUGCUUUGAUAAGUCACAAGGAGGCAGUGUUGGAUUAUCAUAGUUUUACUGGCAAUACUGAUGAUAGAGAAGAAGAGAAGGCAUUUCUAGAUGCCAAACUGAACUUGGGGAAAAGUUCACAUGGCCAGAAGGAGGAGGAUGGGCCCAUCUGCAUGAAUAUCCUUCCAUACCAUCCAAAAUGAGGACAACAACCACAACAUCUUAAACAAAUGUAGGGCUAUGACUAACAUCAUCAGUUCCCCUCUGCUUUCUUUCUCCUGUAUGAUUUUUAAUACCUUUGCCUGAUGAAGAAGCCAGUGGACU